AGACCCGAAACCCGGUGAUCUAGCCAUGGGCAGGUUGAAGGUUGGGUAACACUAACUGGAGGACCGAACCGACUAAUGUUGAAAAAUUAGCGGAUGACCUGUGGCUGGGGGUGAAAGGCCAAUCAAACCGGGAGAUAGCUGGUUCUCCCCGAAAGCUAUUUAGGUAGCGCCUCGUGAAUUCAUCUCCGGGGGUAGAGCACUGUUUCGGCUAGGGGGCCAUCCCGGCUUACCAACCCGAUGCAAACUGCGAAUACCGGAGAAUGUUAUCACGGGAGACACACGGCGGGUGCUAACGUCCGUCGUGAAGAGGGAAACAACCCAGACCGCCAGCUAAGGUCCCAAAGUCAUGGUUAAGUGGGAAACGAUGUGGGAAGGCCCAGACAGCCAGGAUGUUGGCUUAGAAGCAGCCAUCAUUUAAAGAAAGCGUAAUAGCUCACUGGUCGAGUCGGCCUGCGCGGAAGAUGUAACGGGGCUAAACCAUGCACCGAAGCUGCGGCAGCGAACGUAUCACUUAAAGCGAUUCAGCGGGUUACGAUUGACGGAGCGAAGCGACGUCAAAGCGUAUACAAAGUCGAGUCGGUUUAAGGAUACGUUCGUUGGGUAGGGGAGCGUUCUGUAAGCCUGUGAAGGUGUGUCGUGAGGCAUGCUGGAGGUAUCAGAAGUGCGAAUGCUGACAUAAGUAACGAUAAAGCGGGUGAAAAGCCCGCUCG
rnacentral:rRNA from 2 species